AAUGGGCGGAGCCUGACCAGCAACGCCGCGUGGAGUGAGACGGCCUUCGGGUUGUAAACUCCUUUUACGGGGGACGACAUCGACCGUACCCCGCGAAUCAGGCUCGGCUAACUCUGUGCCAGCAGCCGCGGUAAGACAGAGGAGCCAAGCGUUGUCCGGAUUGACUGGGCGUAAAGCGCACGCAGGCGGCUGGGCACGUGGGGUGUGAAACCUCGCGGCUUAACUGCCAGACGCCAUCUCAUACGGCCCGGCUCGAGGCAGGCAGAGGUUCGUGGAAUUGCCGGUGUAGUGGUGAAAUGCGUAGAGAUCGGCAAGAACACCAAGGGCGAAAGCAGCGAACUGGGCCUGUUCUGACGCUCAGGUGCGAAAGCGUGGGGAGCGAACCGGAUUAGAUACCCUGGUAGUCCACGCCGUAAACGAUGAAUGCUCGGCAUCUUUCGACCGAUUUUCGGCCGAGGGGUGCCCCAGCUAACGCGAUAAGUAUUCCGCCUGGGAACUACUAGCGCAAGCUUAAA
rnacentral:rRNA from 1 species